CCUACGGGUGGCAGCAGUGGGGAAUUUUGGACAAUGGGGGAAACCCUGAUCCAGCCAUGCCGCGUGCGGGAAGAAGGCCUUCGGGUUGUAAACCGCUUUCGGACGGAAAGAAAUCGCACGGACUAAUACUCUGUGUGGAUGACGGUACCGUAAGAAGAAGCACCGGCUAACUACGUGCCAGCAGCCGCGGUAAUACGUAGGGUGCGAGCGUUAAUCGGCGUUACUGGGCGUAAUCCGUGCGCAGACGUGUAAUCCCCGGGCUUAACCUGGGAACUGCGUUUGGAACGGGGAGACGAGAGUGUGGCAGAGGGAGGUGGAAUUCCGCGUGUAGCAGUGAAAUGCGUAGAUAUGCGGAGGAACACCGAUGGCGAAGGCAGCCUCCUGGGAUAACACUGACGCUCAUGCACGAAAGCGUGGGGAGCAAACAGGAUUAGAUACCCUAGUAGUC
rnacentral:rRNA from 1 species